rnacentral:rRNA from 1 species
AUUGAACGCUGGCGGCAGGCCUAACACAUGCAAGUCGAGCGGAUGAAGGGAGCUUGCUCCUGGAUUCAGCGGCGGACGGGUGAGUAAUGCCUAGGAAUCUGCCUGGUAGUGGGGGAUAACGUCCGGAAACGGGCGCUAAUACCGCAUACGUCCUGAGGGAGAAAGUGGGGGAUCUUCGGACCUCACGCUAUCAGAUGAGCCUAGGUCGGAUUAGCUAGUUGGUGGGGUAAAGGCCUACCAAGGCGACGAUCCGUAACUGGUCUGAGAGGAUGAUCAGUCAAACUGGAAAUGAGACGCGGACCAGAGUCAUAAGGGAGGCAGGAGUGGAGAAGAGUGGGCAAGGGGCGAGGGCGGGAGGCGGGAGGGGGGAGUGGGAGAGGAAGGUCGACGGUUUGGAAAGCCCGGGAGGUUGGGAGGAAGGGCAUUAUGGUUAUAACGUGCUGUUUGGGGGGGAAAAAAAGAAUUAGCACUGGCUUGUUGUGUGCCAGCAGGAGCAGAAAAAAAAGAGCAGCACACCUCUGAAC